GACGAACGCUGGCGGCGUGCUUAACACAUGCAAGUCGAACGGAAAGGCCCUGCUUGCAGGGUACUCGAGUGGCGAACGGGUGAGUAACACGUGGGUGAUCUGCCCUUCACUUCGGGAUAAGCCUGGGAAACUGGGUCUAAUACCGGAUAGGAGCCAUUUUUAGUGUGAUGGUUGGAAAGUUUUUUCGGUGUAGGAUGAGCUCGCGGCCUAUCAGCUUGUUGGUGGGGUAAUGGCCUACCAAGGCGGCGACGGGUAGCCGGCCUGAGAGGGUGGACGGCCACAAUGGGGCCGAGGUAAGGCCCAGGAGCCUAAGGGAGGCAGCAGUGGGGAAUAUUGCACAAUGGGCGCAAGGCUGAUGCAGCGACGCCGCGUGGGGGAAGACGGCCUUCGGGUUGUAAACUCCUUUCGGUAGGGACGAAGCUUUUUGUGACGGUACCUAGAGAAGAAGCACCGGCUAACUACGUG
rnacentral:rRNA from 1 species